CCAAUAGCGUAUAUUAAAGUUGUUGCAGUUAAAAAGCUCGUAGUUGAAUUUCGGGAUUGGCGCAUCGGUCGUGCCUCACGGGGUAUGAACUGGUGCAGUCAAUUUCUCACCUUCUGGAGAACCGCGAUGUCCUUAAUUGGAUGCCGCGGGGAACCAGGACCUUUACUUUGAAAAAAUUAGAGUGUUUAAAGCAGGCAUUUUUGCUUGAAUACAUUAGCAUGGAAUAAUAAAAUAGGACGGCAUGGUUCUAUUUUGUUGGUUUCUAGGACCACCGUAAUGAU
rnacentral:rRNA from 1 species